GACGAACGCUGGCGGCGUGCUUAACACAUGCAAGUCGAGCGGUACGGCCUCUUCUGGGGUACACGAGCGGCGAACGGGUGAGUAACACGUCGGUGACCUGCCCUCAGCUCUGGGAUACGCCUGGGAAACUGGGUCUAAUCCCGGAUAUGACCUUUCCUUGCCUGGGGUUUGGUGGCAAGUUUUUUCGGCUGGGGAUGGGCCCGCGGCCGAUCAGCUUGUUGGUGGGGUGAUGGCCUACCAAGGCGUCGACGGGUAGCCGGGCUGGGAGGGCGAACGGCCAAACUGGGACUGAGGCACGGCCCAGACUCCUACGGGAAGGAGGAGGGGGGAAUACUGCGGAAAGGGCGGAAGCCUGGCGGAGCGACGGCGCGUGGGAGAUGACGGCCUUCGGGUUGGAAACCUCUUUCGACCGCGACGAAUUUUGACGGUAGGGGUAGAAGAAGCACCGGCUAACUACGUG
rnacentral:rRNA from 1 species